rnacentral:lncRNA from 1 species
GGAUUCCCACAAUCCUAAUAAGAUUAGGAAUUUUGAAUUAAGUUUGGAUUCCUACUUGGAGUAGGAUUCCUAGAGUCCUAAUCAGAUUAGGACUCCGAAUUCAAAUUGGAGUCUUAAUUGAAUUAGGACUAGAAUUAAACAAAUCCUAAUUGGAUUAGGAUUCCUUAAGUCUAAAUUAAUUAUUAAUCUAAUGAAUCAACAUGACUCCUAAUUGGAUUAGGAUUGAAGAGUUCAAUUGAGUCAUGGUUCAUUCAAGUCCUAAUUGGAUUAGGACUAGCAUAGAUUGAACCCAAUUUUGGUUAAUCCUAAUUAGACUAGGACUAAACCAUGAGAAGGGCACCUAAUCCUCUUUGGAAGAGGAUUGGGUUAACCAAGUAAGAGGAGCAUGAGCCCCUCUCAUCCUUGAUCAAUUGGUGCGGCACAAGAGAAGGGGCCGGCGCCCCCCCCCCCUUUGGAAAGUCAUCUAGGGCUCCUACUUUGGAGGAGCCCUUGAUGGCUAUAAAAGGGCUUAUGAGGCCGGCGCCCUAGAAGCAUUGAAGCCUCUCCCUCUUGAGCCGUGGCCACCCUCUCCCUCUCCUUUGGUUUCAGCCGCAAGCAAGGGAAGAAGAACUCCAAGUGUUGGCGGCAUCCUCUUCCUCCCUUCUUCCUUCCAACGCAGGGAAAAGAAAGAAGGCUGCGUGGGGAUUC